UGGGCUGUAGCUCAGCAGCACAGUGCUUGCCUAGCAUGCAUGAGGAACUGGGUUCGAUCCUCAGCACCACAU
rnacentral:tRNA from 1 species